CUUCUUCAAAAUUCCUAACAGGCAGCCUGGUGGAGAGAUGGGAGGGAGGAAGGGCGGGAGGAAGGGAGGGAGAGAGAGGUAGAGGGUGCCUGUCUGCUGAGUACAUGUGGUACAGGCAGGGAGAUGAGAACGCUGGCAGAGCAGGCAGUGUAAUUACAUGUUCCUCGUAAGUAUGCUAGCCCUGCGCGGAACUAGCCUUGCCAGGUCACUUGGGGAGGAAAAGUAGAUUUGGGGACGGUGGAUAAGGUCAGUUCAUAACUGACUUCCCACUCGGGUAUGAUGAGGGCAUUUGCUCAUCUUCAGUGACUGCCUGGUGCUGGUGGUCAGGCUCGGCUCUUUCGCUCCCAGAUAUUUGAUUUUGCAAAAGGGACACACCUUUCUGCAGGAAAGAAGACACUGACCAGAUUGCAAGCGGUAUUUGUGGAUGCUUCGCUGCCACCCAGGGCCCAGGCGAACUGACUGUGCAGCAGUGUUUGUGCAUGGGAAUCGGAGACCAUGGCCGUGCAGCUGGUGCCGGACUCUGCUCUCAGCCUGCUGAUGGUUACAGAUGAAGCGCCUGAGAUGCAGAGAAGUUAAACCGUUUGCCCAAGGCCACACAACUAAUGGUCGGCAGAGCUGGACAGAGAGCCGGGUCUUCUCUCCUUGCACGGUACCCACUGCCUCCCUCCCUGGGGAUGGGGGCAUUGCAAUGGCAUGCUCCUUGGAAGGGAAGGUGUUUGGAAAACUGUUGGAAACUGCUUCUCUGACAGCUGUUUCAAUGAUGGAAGUGGCCGCUGUGAGUUGGGUCCUCCAAGGGGAUGAGGUGGGCAUUAGGGCUGUUGGUGAGUGGGUCGUUUUCCAGCUCAGAACUAACAGGAUGGGGAGAGAAGAGAGACACAGUCUGACAAUCAGUUUGCAGCAGAAUCCACACUGGGCACACACCAUAGCGUUGUCUAACCACUUUCCAGGCCAGUAAUGGGAAAAAGCAAUCACUGGAAAAGGAUUUACUCUAAAGAGACUCCAGAAUGUCAGACGGGCACUUCACGGUGCCUUGGGGAUAUCUUUUCCCUUUGAGCUUCCAGCCUAUUUUGUUUCUUUUUAUUCUCCUUCUAAAAGGGGAGCUACAGGAUGGAGAGUAAUUCUUAAAGAGAAAUAUCUCCCCCCAACCCCCUGAGAUGUAGGAGUCUGUGGUGCCAGGGCUAAGGACACAGACUUGGAAGUGAGACCACCUGGGUUGGCAUCCCUGUUGUGUCUCUUCUCUUUUGUGUAGCCCGUAGGGAACCUCUGCGUAACCUCUUCACCUCACUUUCCUCAUCUGUAAAAUGAGGGUUGGAAUAGUACCACCUACCCCUUGGACCAUUCGUAAAGAUUAAAUAGGUUAACGUUCAUAAAACAUUUAAAAUUACCUGGUACACAGCCAGCACUGUAUCUGUAUCUAUAUAUUUGCUAAACAAAUAUAAGUAAUUAAGAAGUAUAAGCCAAAGAGAAAUGCAGAGGUGGCGUUAAGAGUGGAAUGUGGGUGAAGACUUCAUGCGGUUACGACAAUCCCAGGUUCCCUUUGAGAAAUUGCAUGUGGCCCGUGUGGUGGCAAAUGCUACAGCCGUGAAGAUAAGUCCACUCUUUUAUCCAUUUGGAUGAGUGAUCCAAACAGCAUGGCACUCACCAGCCCCAGCUUAGUAAGCACAGGUCACUUGUUUUUGGUACCACUCCCCAAAGAGAUGCCUCACAUGCUCUUACAAGCCUGUCAAUCACUCCUUGCUCCCGCAUGCCAUGCUAACCUCAGAGCUGCUUGCAGCAGCCUCAUCCCUGCUCUUGACCUUUAUGGGAAGGCCAAUGUCCCUGCCAAGAUGUCAGUCCACAUAACUGAAAUCAGGCCUGACUUGCAGUUAGUGCUCAACAAGUGCACACUACUAAUACUAAGACCUUUAUCUCUGGAUGCCUCCUAAGCUUCCAGUUCUCAAAGUACCAUAGCAGGGAGAUUAGUUUCUCUACAGACAUGGGGAGAAUGGCUGCCUCCCACUCAGACACCAUUUAUCUUCUGGGUGCAUCUGUGUCUAGCGUUUUACAAAGUUUUUCUUGAAUAGUUGGGUCGGUUUCCAGCCCAUACCCCUCACCCAGACUCUCUUUAAGUCUCUUCUGAUAACCUUUUCUAGCUCUCCCCUUCCUAAUCAUACGAGUUCAAACUCAAUCCAAGAGGCCAGAUCGUAGCAACAGCAGACAUUUAUUGACCUCUUACUGCAUGCCCGGCACUCUUUAAACUGGCAAGCAAUGGUGAUAUCAUUUAAUCCUUGCAGCGACCCUAUGGAGUGGAAAUUAUUAGAAUCCAUUUUACAUAUGAUGACGCUGAAGCCCAGAUAGUGUACCUUUCCCAAGGUUACCCAGCUAAGAAAUGAUAGAGCAAGAAUCCAAACCAGCUCAGUGCUUUGGAUCCCAGCUCCUAACUAGUACAUCACACUGAUGGGGAGCAGAGGUCGUGCUACCCUCAUCCUCUGACCUUCCUUCUGUUCAGUGGUACCAAAGUUCCUUCUUCACUCCUCAGUUCCAAUAUGAAUAUUCACCCAUAUCUCAAAUCGAUGUAAAUAUUUGCUGGGAUGGGUGGGGUGGAGGAAUUGGUUAAACAUUUGAAGCGCCAGAUAGCCAGCAAAACUAUCCAUUAAUAGGGGCUGGUUUCAUGAAACAAAAAUAGUUGAUUCAUAUGGCAGAGGUCUUAAUCCCAGGACCCAGAACGAUGUGGAUAUCUCUUACAUGUUAUCCUGUCCAUUGUCCCAUAUGCAUCAUAGCAAUGCUUACUAAAGAUCUCUUCUCACUUUUCAAUAUCUGUUCUUUCGUUUAUUGGUUUCUGCUGAUGUCCAAGUAGACAAGAACAGUCAAAUUAGCUAUAUUGAAACAUUGUCCACAGAAUUUUCAGUUCAUUCAUUCACUCACCAAAUAUGUAUUUAGCUCACCAUGGGUAAGGAAUCCAUAAGCAAGCAUAUAAGUCAAUAUAAGGGGGAUAAUAUUCCCAAAUGUUUAACCAAUAUAUUUUUAUGUCCUCUUAAAUCAUGACUCCACAUAGCCUCUACCUCCAAGGGGGACUCAUGAGGCAUAUUGCCCCAAGGAAGGAAAGACUGGACACUGUCUGGAACAAAGAGACCAUGGAUGACUUUUAUGGCCCAAGGCUAGACUCCAGCCUCUCAAUCUCAUGCCUUCAUUGACCAGAUGCCAUCUUGUAUUAGAAUUCUCCCCAGGUGGUUAGAUAUAAGGCUUUUAGACAUCAUCUGCUUCAACCCAUUCACUUUACCAGUGAGAAAAUUGGCUUAAAGAGGUGAAUGAGGUACUCAAAGAAGUUAGUGGCAGAGCCAGAACUCGACCCUAGUGCUCCUUUUGGAAUCCAACAAUUUUGAAAUUUAUGUCACUAUAUCUUUUGUGCUACUUGGGGAAAUGUCCAGGUUUUCACCUGUACUCAUGAUUAAUUUUUAAUACAUUUCUGUGGUCAAGGAAAGAGUUUGCCUUGACAAAAUCGAUGUUUCAUCAUUGUUGGGUGUUUCUCUUAAGAACAAAGGCGAAGACUGGGAUCCUGGCUGUGACCAUUUUCGUCUGUUCUGCCGCUUGACUGGAGGUAGCCGGGGGUGGCCAAUUUGAAGUGGUUAAGAUCAGCAUGCGCCGUGAAUGGUAAUCAUUCUGGCUUCAGUGCUAAUCUUAAAAGUGAUUCAACACUGUCAUUGAGGUGUCAGACCAUGAAAGUAAACACUCUUUACUUGUGAUUUAAUGAGUAUUUAGGACAACUGACAAUCCUCUGAUUGGAUCAGUGUGUGAGCCCUGAGCCCAAAAGGACAUUGCAUGCCUUUCUGUGUUGUUGCAGCUGUUCUGUGGCUUGACCCACUGACAUGUCACUGUUUGGUGUCAAUAUUUGUAGGCUGGACAAUCUCCCUCUGCAAUAUGGUUUGGCUUCUGGGGACUAAAAUUUCUUUAUUAGUUUACUUGGGGAUAAAUAGAUCGCCAUCCAAAACUCAGAUUACUCUGAAAGCAAACGAGUCCUCAUGGUAUAGAAGAAAGAGAGGGCAAUGGUUAGAAGUUGGAUCAUGGUGGGCUGGAGUCUGGGGACUUCUGUGACCUGCUGAGGUUCCACUGCAUGUCACCUUCCUUCCAUUCAUUCCACUGUGUUCCUCUUUCUGCAUGAUGUUAGUUAUAUUCUGCCCUUUAAGUUUGGGUUACCUGCCCACGAGAGGAGAGAGCAUGACUUUCUUUCCAUCCUGGAACUUAUCUAUAACAUAGAGAGCCUUAGAGAUUUUUUUUUUUCUUUCUUGAGAAGCUAGUAUUAAUUUCCUCAGAGACUUAAGACUCCUGACAAGAGUCUGAGUGGUGUUGGGAAGAGGUGGAGGCAUAUGUGAGAGAAUAAGCUGGAAUCCUGUGGCUGGGAGAUGCUGAUGGGGCACUGUGGUCAUCACGGUGUCCAUCCUAUGAGCCAUGUGGAAGCGGAUCCCAUGGUGACAAUGAGCCAUGUCCUCUUCUCUCACUGCGGGAAAGCAGCAGUCAAUAGCAGGGGAGACCUAGAGGUGUAACCUACUCUUUGUGUGUGUAUAUUUGCAAAAUGAAGCUACUUCAAAUAUUUUCUUUUUUAAGAAUAUUUUCUCUGAUUAAAAAAUGUAUAGUUGCUGGAGGCUGGCGCAGUGGCCUAGUGGUUGGGUUCGCUGACGCGCUCCACUUUGGCAGCCCGGGGUUCACAGGUUCGGAUCCAGGGCGUG